rnacentral:ncRNA from 1 species
CUUCAGGGCAGGGUGAGCUUUUAGCAAUUCCCGACCGGCGGUAAUAGUCCGCGAAACCUACGGGUUUGAUUUGGUGAAAUUCCAAAACCGACAGUAUAGUCUGGAUGAGAGAAGU